UUUAAGCCUUGUCCCAUGGAAAUAAUGUUAAGUGUUCAUAUGCAGCCACUGAGUGUCUCGGCUAACUCAAAAUCACAAUGGCAGAAAUGGAGUAUUGGCUUCAAUUUCUAAGGAGUGAUGGAAAACUGAAGCAUUCAAAAGAUUAAAUAAAUGGAAAAGCUAACAAGAUAACAGUCACCUCUGCAAGAGAGGAAAAGCAAAACCAACGGAACUGCCAAAACAACCAAUCAACAGAACUAAAGACUGACUCUACCCCAAGAACCCAACAUAGAUACAUACAGAGAUAUCCCUGAGAAAGAUUCCUUUUGACUGCUGGAAUUUCCUUUAGAAGUUUCAUUUGCUUGCCAAGUUCAGUGAAUUGAAACAUUCCCAUAAUGGCCACUCUUCAUGGAACAG